UAACGCCCUUGUCGCUCAUUAAUUGGGCUAUAAACGCUCGAUGAGGCCCAUACAGUGGUCUCCAGACGAAGCUAAGCUAGGACCGGUUUAAAAGCAGCGGGGCAGAAGCUUGAAAUAGUCGUCACACACUGGCUCUGCUCCGUCAAACACGCGCGGCCGUUUUUACCGCAGUGCACCUGCAGCAUCCUCUGAUCCGAGCGACAGAGGUGCCGCUGUGGGAUAGGGAAAAAAAAACCUCCGUUAACUGGUACAGGACGUAUUUUAUUUUAUUUUUGGUGGGCUGGCUCUACGAUGCACUGACGCAGUUUUAUUUGGAGGAGCGGAGCAUCUUUUCUACGAGUGCGGAGUCAUUAGAUAGGUGAAAUUAGAAGUAUUUCCACAUUCAGCUGUCAUCGCAGGAGAAGACAGCAUUUUUUUCUUCCGAGGAGACGACUCGAGGAGAGGAGACAGUAGGCUUUGAUUUCAGUGAUCCGAUCAAGGAUAAUUAUUAGACCAGAUUGGUCUGCAUUUAAUAUCGGUAGCGUGUAGCCUGUAAAAGGUAGCACUUUCUAAGUGUAGGCCUAUUGUAAACAUUCAAUCAGUAGCUUGCAUGUUGCACAUAAUAUAAACUAAUUUAUUAUAAUAUUUGUGCACCCUGUAAUUUGCAAACCUAAUAGAGCAGGGCAUGUGGCUCCAGACCUUAUGAUUACUCUGUGCAUCUCACAUUAGACCUCAGGACAAAAAGAUAAUCAAAUCUCAGGGUGUUGAUGGGGAACACUGUGAUCCACCAGAUAUCUGGAUUGUUUCAUAUGCUGCUUGAUAAUUAAGCAGAAAACCCACCACUGGAUUGCAUCAGUUGAAAAUACUGUCAAAAAGCAGCAAUAGGCAUAAUCAGUAGCAAUUCGGCCACUAAUAGGAAACUUGCUAUCUUGAGGAUUGUUAAAACAUAAUAAUCAUAGAAGCCUUUGCAAAUAUCCGUGCAUUUAUUACCAAGUUGGAGGUCAGUUGAAUGUGCGUCAUGACGGUCAUUUAAAGUUUCAACAAGUCUGUUUAGGACUGUUACUGUUACAGUUAAUAACCAACUUUUUGAGGCACCUCUUCAUAUAAAACUAUUUAUUCUAAAAUCCGAUGACAUGGAAGUAUUAAGCCUACGGAUCCUUUUUCUUCUGUGCUGCAUAUUUGCAAUGUCCGAGUGUCGGGGAGCGUGUGCAGAGGUGGACUCAGACACAGAGGCAGUGGCGGGCAUGGGCUUCAAACUGGGCUGCAUCUCCUGCAAGAUGAGAAGGGAGGUGGAGGCUACUGCCACCGUCGACUGGUACUUCAGGGCGAAAGGAGAAGCAGACUUCGUCCACAUCUACACCUACAACGAGGAAGGCCCCAUCAUUGAAAACGACAACUUUAUGGACCGUUUGGAUUGGAACGGAACUAAGAGGAGCCAGGACAUCCAGGAUGGAUCCAUAUACCUGCUCAACGUCACCUUCAACGACACGGGCACCUACCGCUGCUUUUUCAACCGAAUCCUUUUCUACGAAAACUAUGAAAACAGCAGAGUUAUCAGCAAAGUGGUCCAACUUACUGUGGUGGCUAAAGCGACCAGAGGAACGGCUUCCAUCGUGUCCGAGGUCAUGAUGUACGUGUCCAUCAUUGGCCUUCAGGUCUGGCUCCUCAUAGAGAUGAUAUACUGCUACAGGAAAAUAUCAGCAGCUGGGGAAGAAGCACUAAGAGAAGCAGCAAAUGCUGAAUAUUUAGCAAUAGCCUCAGAAAGUAAGGAGAACUGCGCAGGGGUGCAGGUUGGAGAAUAGCACAGGUAGGUUUGUGAUCCCGAGGUGAAAGUGCAUGUCAGCAUCAUUCCCAGGCUUCUCCCCUGGACAAAAUACAUCCUUCUACCCUCUAAUCUGCAUGUAGAAAACUUGGAGGUAAAACUCCUCUUCAUCUCAAGACUCCAUUUGACCUUUUCGCUGACAAAGAUCACACAUGGAUAUUACAUACAAAGGAAGCAUGGUACCAGCACUGUAUAUAGUAUUCUGCGCCAAAAAAGCACGUUCUGCUUAUGCACUUAUUUGAGAAACCAUUAUGCAUUAAAGAGCCAUAUUGUUGUAUUUUUAACGUACAGGAUUUCUUUAAGUAUAUGUAGUCAGUCACUGGGGUGUGACGAGACACAGCUCGUGAGACAAGACACAAGAUUGGGUUCUUGAGAAAAGACGAUAUUUUAACACUAUUUUAGAGAAAACUAAAAUGAUGAAAUAUGAGUGGAAAGUCUUUCAUUCAAUUGAAAGACACAAAGAAAAAUGGAGCAUUGUGAAAGGUUUUGCCACUCAGAUUGCUUCUCUCCUGUGUUACUAACCUCUUCAGACCUCUCUCCUUCCAAACCGGUCUCUACAACCUAUUAAUCAAAAACAUAUUCAUAUCUUACACAUUAGUAUCUUAAUCUUUUUUUUUAGCCGUUUUUAUUUUCAUUACGUUAUUUAAAGCACUUUAAAUUGCCUCUUUGCCUAAAGGUGCUAUAGAAAUAAUUUUGCCUUGCCUGUACAACCUCAGCCUGUCAGUCUGUAACCAGGGCAUAGGAAUGCUUUGGUCUUGUGCCAGUCAGUCAGGCAAUAGAGAACACCUGUCUGUCUCAGAAGCACACAUUAACUGCACGGCAAUCUCACUAUUAUAUUAUAUUGCAACAAACAGUGUCUGCGUAAAGUUUUGAAAAGUGUAACCACAUCUGUCUCCGCUUUGUCUCACUGUGAGAAACUGCAGAGGCAAAUAUAACUCUCUGUGUGUGUGUGUGUGUGUGUGUGUGUGUGUGUGUGUGUGUGUGUGUGUGUGUGUGUGUGUGUGUGUGUGUGUGUGUGUGUGUGUGUGUGUGUGUGUGUG